ACAAAGAAGAACCCAAAGAAAAGAGGAACAGGGAAGGAAGAAAAUAAAAUAAAAUAGCAACAAUAGGGAAACAAAGCAGAACGUGGAACAAAAGGGGUUUUGGGACGGUUACUUUUGGCAACAAAUUAGGGAUAUUUGAAAAUUAAGUCAAAAAAUAAAAAUAAAGAAAUAAUAUAUUAUAUUUUGUAACAACUUAUCCCCCAACAUCCUACAAUAAUCCAACCACCAGAC
rnacentral:lncRNA from 1 species